rnacentral:rRNA from 1 species
CAACCAAAAGGGAAUCGGGUUAACAGUCCCGAACCCGGCUACGGAGAUCGGCUCUUCGGAGCCCAGUGCGGCAACGCAAACCAGCUCGGAGACGCCGAUGGGAGCCCCGGGAAGAGUUUUCUUUUCUCUGUAAGGAGAUCGAGUCCCUGGAAUGGGUUCACCCCGAGAUAGGGACGGUGGCUCCGUAGAGCAGUGCGGCUCUUGCGCUGUCCGGUGCGCUCCUGUCGGCCCUUGAAAAUCCGAGUGAGGGAGUGUGAUUUUCGUGCCGGACCGUACCCACAUCCGCAGCAGGUCUCCAAGGUGAACAGCCUCUAGUCGAUAGACCAAUGUAGGUAAGGGAAGUCGGCAAAACGGAUCCGUAACCUUGGGAAAAGGAUUGGCUCUGAGGGCUGAGCCGGUCGGGCUGGGGUCCAGAAGCAGGAACGGCACUGCACCGGGACUGGGCGAGGCUCGCCGCCGUAAAAAGCGGUGCGGCCGAGCCCGGACCAGCGUCGGGACCUUCCUGUGGAAAGCCACAGCUGUGCAUUUUCCGUGGGCUUCGCGCCUGAGGUUCUUGCUUCGGCCGGCAGAAAACAGCCAACUCAGAACUGGCACGGACCGGGGGAAUCCGACUGUCUAAUUAAAACAAAGCAUUGCG